UACGAAGGGGGGCUAGCGUUGCUCGGAAUCACUGGGCGUAAAGGGUGCGUAGGCGGGUCUUUAAGUCAGGGGGUGAAAUCCUGGAGCUCAACUCCAGAACUGCCUUUGAUACUGAAGAUCUUUGAGUUCGGGAGAGGUGAGUGGAAACUGCGAGUGUAGAGGUGAAAAUUCGUAGAUAUUCGCAAGAACACCAGUGGCGAAGGGCGGCUCACUGGCCCCGAUACUGACGCUGAGGCACGAAAAGCGUGGGGGGAGCAAACAGGGAUUAAGAAUAACCCUUGUAGUC
rnacentral:rRNA from 1 species